CCUACGGGCGGCAGCAGUGAGGAAUAUUGGUCAAUGGGCGCGAGCCUGAACCAGCCAAGUCGCGUGAGGGAGGACGGCCCUACGGGUUGUAAACCUCUUUUGCCGGGGAGCAACGGGCGUCACGUGUGGCGCCACUGAGAGUACCCGGAGAAAAAGCAUCGGCUAACUCCGUGCCAGCAGCCGCGGUAAUACGGAGGAUGUGAGCGUUAUCCGGAUUUAUUGGGUUUAAAGGGUGCGUAGGCGGAGUGUCAAGUCAGCGGUAAAAUUUCGGGGCUCAACCCCGUCGUGCCGUUGAAACUGACGCCCUUGAGUGAGUGAGAAGUAAGCGGAAUGCGUGGUGUAGCGGUGAAAUGCAUAGAUAUCACGCAGAACGCCGAUUGCGAAGGCAGCUUACCGGCGCUCAACUGACGCUGAGGCACGAAAGUGCGGGUAUCGAACAGGAUUAGAUACCCCAGUAGUC
rnacentral:rRNA from 1 species